UACGGUCACCUCAGUAUUUAUCUUUCAAGUGUUCGUAGUUCUCAUUUUGCAUUUUAUUUUUAAUUUCUCCUAGAGAAUCCCAGCUUCAUUUCCCCAGAAUCCCAGUGUAUCUGAUGUCCUGCUUGUUUUGAAGACAUAGUGUGGUUCAUGGUGCAGAAAAGGCACUCAAAAUAUUUAUGGAUGAAGAAGGAAAUGAUGGAUCGUCUCACUGUCCCUGGACGAUGUCAUUACAUCCUUGCUCUUCAACAUGCUUGAGGGUUAUACUUUCCUAUUAGUUUGGGAAACCUAAUCUGGUGCCUCAGACGGUAAAGCAUCUGUCUACAAUGCGGGAGACCCGGGUUUGAUCCCUGGGUCGGGAAGAUCCCUUGGAGAAGGAAAUGGCAAUCCACUGCAGUACUAUUGCCUGGAAAAUCCCAUGGACACAGGAGCCUGGUAGGCUACAGUCCAUGGGGUCGAAAAGAGUCGGACACAACUGAGUCAAGGCAAAGCAAAAGCAAUAAUCAAAUUGAAGAGGGUUCCUAAUAAGGUGAACCAUAGCCUAGAUUGGAUUACAGGCUGUUAUUCAGGUAUAAAAGGAAGUCAAACAGACAGAGGGAUGCGUCUGUUCAGAGAAGAAGAAGCUGCACUGCUUGGGACCUUGAAGAAAGAGAAAUCAGCUGCUUGCUGUGGAGUCCUCAGAAUCUGCUUGGCUUCAUCAGCUCCUGCAAUUUGGGGUUUUGGUUGGUCUGCCUAGUGCUUGAUCAGCUGUGAGUGAGAUCCUGAGAAAGGCUCCCGGUGACUGAGCUCAAGGAUGGAGCCCCUGGUAAGUAGUGAUGCUUCCUCCUGAAGCUGCACCCAGUCCCCAUCCUUCCUCAGCUCAGCCGCCCACUCUGGACAGCGAUAGGGCUGCUCUGUCUAAACCAGAACAUCCAUAGUUUUUUAGGACUUGGUGACAUUAAAGAUGUAGCAGUCAACUUCACCCAGAAGAGUGGAGCCUGCUAGACAAGUCCCAGAAAAACCUGUUCAGAAAUGUGAUGCUGGAAACUGUCACCCACCUGGUCUCUGUAGGUGAGUCUGUCAACAGGGAUGUGCCUGCACCUGUGUCCAUUCUGUUCAUUUACUCACUGAACAAGCAUUUAGAACAGCUUCCCUGUGUCCCACUCCGGCUGC
rnacentral:lncRNA from 1 species